UGUCUAUGGAAAGUACAUCAGAGUGUGGGAUUUGUUGGUUAUCGAGUGGGAACCAUAUUCACACAAGUUUAAUCUACCAAGCCUAUGUCGAGGGGCAUCGACACCAAGACAUCUCGACUUCGAAGUGAAAUGUCAUCUACCGAUGGGAUACACCUCAGCUUACCACCAGAAAGCGGCAUCCGAAUGUGGACGUUACUUCAACUUGAAGAAUUUUCUGCCAGAUGUCCCCAUUGGAGGGAGCUGCCUGGAUACGAUACAAUGUCUUGGCGGAGAUGGUGCACAAUGCCAAGACGUCGGUUAUGGA